GGAUUAAGAGAAGGCAGGCUGCCUUGCUGAAGCUAUGUGGUCUUCAAGUGAGAGUUGCAGGCAAUAGAACUACUUUCCUUUUGGAGUAAAAGGAGGAAUUCAUUUUCAGUAGCCACAAGAAAAGUUUUUUUUUUUUCCAGGGUGGCUGGCAAAAUGGCCAAAUAGUAACAGCUCCAGUCUGCAGCUCCCAGUAAGAUCUACACACAAGGCGGGUGAUUUCUGCAUUUCCAACUGACUAGGAUUCUUAGUCCCUGUACUUGUGCUAACUUCAAGUUCCUUCGGUGGAUUUUAGUUCAUCUCAGCUGUGCUGAAGGAGAAACAAGGCCACACAGUCUUGUCACCUCUGCUCUGGGUGUGAGGACAGCAUGGAGAUCAUCAGGUCAACGCAAGUAAGAUGAGGACUUGGGCCAGGAAGCAGAGAGAAUGCUGGGCCGCUGUCCUUUUCUUCAUGGGAUGGUGUUUAGACAACAUUCUCUG
rnacentral:lncRNA from 10 species